UACGAAGGUGGCAAGCGUUACUCGGAAUUACUAGGCGUAAAGGGCAGGUAGGUGGUUUGAUAAGUCUGUCGUGUCAAUUCUCGGCUUAACCGGGAGAGGUCGACAGAUACUGUUAGACUUGAGUAUAGGAGAGGGUACUGGAAUUCCCGGUGUAGCGGUGAAAUGCGCAGAGAUCGGGAGGAACACCAAUGGCGAAAGCAGGUACCUGGACUAUUACUGACACUAAGCUGCGAAAGCUAGGGGAGCAAAC
rnacentral:rRNA from 1 species